rnacentral:rRNA from 1 species
UACGGAGGAUGCGAGCGUUAUCCGGAUUUAUUGGGUUUAAAGGGUGCGUAGGCGGAAUAUCAAGUCAGCGGUAAAAAUUCGGGGCUCAACCCCGUCGUGCCGUCGAAACUGAUGUUCUUGAGUGGGCGAGAAGUAUGCGGAAUGCGUGGUGUAGCGGUGAAAUGCAUAGAUAUCACGCAGAACUCCGAUUGCGAAGGCAGCAUACCGGCGCCCAACUGACGCUGAAGCACGAAAGCGUGGGUAUCGAACAGG